UAUUUGUUCCUUCUAAAAUAUGUAGACAACAGCUGGUGCUACCCAGAAAAAAUACUUGAAGACACCCAUUAAGGACAAGAAUGGCUAUUCUAGAGUUGUCUCUUAAUUCCUUAAAGAAACAUCCCUGGAGACACUCUGAUGUCAGUAGAAGUCUCUCACAUUCAGAAAGGAUCUCUGUUUGCUGAAGACCAGCAAAUGUGAGGUGAUUUGAAAGAACUCAGCGAUCUAGAGGAAUUGAGACAUUCAUUCCAAACAGCUAUGGACAAACUAGUGAAAGAUAUUGAACUUACAUUACAGGAAACCCAGAAUAAUGUUAACAAGAGGCACAAGAAGCAGCAACAAGUGAAGAUGCAGGGUGCCAUGAGAGACAUACCAACAUCAUAUUUCAUCUCAGACAAUACAACUGAGAACAUGGAUGCUAGGAGUCAUAUGGCACACUUGGAUGUGAUGGGAAGAGCAAGUACUUUGCAGUCUGAAGUAUCCACCAGUGUGGAAGAACAGAAAGAGCUUUGCUACAUGCAGGUCACUGCUGCUGACAUUGAACUUCAGAGGACGUGGUGCAAUUUUAUGCUGGCUGAACAGAAAUAUGAACAUGAGGAUAGUGACAAACAAAGGCUUCAUGAAGAGAGAAUGGCCCGGAUUCAUCAACAGUUUAGACAAGGACUCCAAGACCGGCUCCUGCCUCCAAACCAAAGUGUUUUGUUUUUCUUAUACUGCUUCACCUUUAUAUUUAUUAUUUACUUAGUAAAAGACCUGGUCUUUUACUUUUUCCAAAACCAUCACCAGUUCUCUUUUGCUAUUGUGCUCUUUCUCAUUCUCAAAGGGAUUUUCCAGGAUUAAAAAUCUAGGACAAAUGUGCUCUUAAAAGAGAUAGAAUAUUGUUCAUUUCUCUGCCCCUGAUCUUACUGUUUUUUGUUAUCCACACCAACAAAUAGUUACACAAAACUAACUGACUUCCUGAAGAAAACUGGAAAUGGAUGACAUGAUUUGACAUCGCAUUGUCUUUACAAAUAAAAUAAGAAGUCUCCUUUGGACAUGUUUUAUUUUUUUUCCUCUCCUCCUUGGAUUAACAGAGUGGCUUGGGUUUAUCCGUCUACCUGUAUAUGUAUUUUUGUGCAGAAGUUUCAGAGCUAAUUCAUUAGUUGUGGAAAAGUACUCAGGAUAACUGAAUAUUGCUAUAAGUUCAUUGCUAUCUCUGCUUCUGGGAUAGACACAUUCACCUCUGUGCCGUGGCACUCUCUAUACUUACACACAGCUUCAAUCAGCAAUAAACCAGCAAGUACUGGCAAACACAUACCUUAUUUGUAACUCAGGUGUCAUGAUUUCUGAAGUCUCCACAGUGAUAAGAAAAGGUAUCAAAUAUAGCCCCAAUAAAAAGGCAUUCUGUCUAGUGAGAUGAUUUUUCAGUGCUACUUCAAUUGUACAAUUGUAAAUUGAUAUUUCUAACAAAAAGUAGUCACCUACCAUAUGGUAUGUCAGGUUCAAGUAACUACAGUGUCAUGAUCUUCCACUGAUGUUAGAACAUAAUUCAUCCACAAAUCCUCAUACACAUGCCUGACUGUUUCAUUGAAAUAGUUUUUGUCUCAGUCUCCCUUCUCUUUGCACUGUGCUGUAAACAGGACAAUAACCUGAAGGGUACUCGAUAAUCAGGUAGGUUACAAAAAAUAAACCAAACACUCAGGUCAGGGUUUAAAAUGAUGAAAGGGCUGUAGGCUUCCUUACUGAGGUCUCUAUCUGUGAUGAGUUUGACAUCAGUCAAUGUUGUAUUUCUUGGGUGUUGCUGUCGCAAUGUUUUCACAAAGCCACUGCUGCAUAUUAUAUGACUUAUACUGCCUUAGGCUGUCUGCAUCAAGGCAGUAGAGAAAAGCAUAUUUCACAUCCACAUUUAGUGACUGAGUAUUUUCCUGACAGUGCAGGAAAAGCGUAGAGCACAGGGUCUUCUUGCACUUCCACAGCUUCUAUAUUUCUUAAGCUGUGAAGGGUUACAAGGAAUGUCCAAUUGACAUUUAGGCAAAAAUCCAGAGAAGUCUGCGAUGAGCACAGUCACAUGUGCUAUGACACAAUCUCCCUAAAAGGAAAUUUGACCAAGUAAAGUGAGGUUGCUUGCUAUAGGUAUCACCAGCAUACACAGAUUUAGACAACUAGAGCAAUCAAAAAUAAAUGAAUGAAGGCUUUAGUAAGCUACAGUUCCUCUACUUCUAGUAGAAGUGGUCCCUUCAUCUGCUUUAGGAUUUCGGUGGAAGUCAGCAAUUAGACUUUAUAUUCCAAAUGACCUGGGAGUGAGAACAGUAAAUAAGCUGCUUUUUCUGUAUUUUUCAGUGAGGAAAAUUUGUAUUUUCCUCACUGAAAUCUUAAGAACGUCACCCUGAUGGCUGAGAGAAACCCAUCCUUUGCUUACUGCUGGAUCUGAAAAUGCUUCCUGUAGAUAAUCUUUAAUAUAAAUAUGGUUUGCAAUGAGACAAGUUACUUGGAAUAUCUCUUUUCAUUGUUGGAGACUUUUGGGUUCUAACAGACAGGAGAGAUGAUAUCAGACUGCAUUUGGAAUUAACUCAAAAGACAAUCAGAAGUUGUCACAAAUGUGAAUCCAUUGGAAGAUCCGGAACAUAGAGUCUGUGUAGAAGUAGUAUUUUUAAUACUUGCUUGAUGCUAGGUUUUGGAGAUGCUGACUUAUUUCAUGGGGGGCAGAAAGAAUAGCCUUUUGCAUUUUAUUUACUGCACAUGUGAGAUAAUACUGAGCAGCCUUGAGAGACAGCUGCCAAACCACGUGUGUAAACUCCAAACACACACAUAGCCUAAGAUCAUAAAAUUAAGGAAAAAAAUAGGUAGACCUCUUUCUGAUACGUCAUCCUUGUGAGCACCCAUUCUAUACUUUUAAACAUAUUCCCUUAUGGAUGAGAGACAGACAGAGAUUGCCACUGAAAAAAAUUAUAUCGGCUGAGCUUCUGGGAGGUGCCUGGCUAUGCCCCUGCCCAUGUUUUACAACAGUAGGCACUCAUCACAAAGUGUAUGGUUUUAUGUGAAACCACAGGAAACUUGGUGGUUUCAGCUAUUUUAAGCCUAGAAGUAGGCAGAAUUUUACAGCUGAUGUGGUUUCAAGAACACCACAGUAGGCAAAGAAAGCUUUUUUAACCUUAAGGGUCGUAGAAAAAUACUAGUCUAUGGUUUCGGAGGUCCCCGUGAAGAGCUCCAAAUUAAUGAAUAAAAGGUUAAAAAUAAUGGCGUGAUAUUAUACAUAUUUACGUGCUUGGCAUCUAACAGGUGUUUUAUAGAUACCUGAGCUGGGUGUUGCUAACUCAACAAAACAAAACAUUUGCUGAUUCUCAUAUUAAUCAAGACUACACUUCACAGCAUUUAAUUUUCUUAUUCUCCUCUAAUGAAGUUGGCUGAAUCAAAUGAAAAUGCAAACCUAGAAGAGAAGGCAUCACCCUGCUGGAUAAGCAAAUCCAAUUCAUAUUUAGCAAACUCAUUUGGGGGCUUUCUAGCCAGUUUUUUUUAAAGAUCACAGCUGAGGUGUUUUAGAAGGCUGCAAGGUCAGCUGUGCUGCAAAAAUUUUGCAUGGUCUCUCUCAGUUAAUUUGUGCUUUCAGACCUCAGAUUUAUGUUUUAAGCUUAAACAAAGCUCUUACAUACACAUAAGCUUAAUAAACGUGGUUCAAACUUUUUCAUUCAUUGCAACAGAAAGCAAAGAAGAGAGGAAAAGGAGACUUGGAGUGCAGCAGAGAAGAUCAUGCCUGCAAACAAUCCACCGCUUUGAAUGCCAACGAGGCAAAGUUCAGCAGGUCAGAUAACCCUCAGCAGAAAGAAGGGAAACACAGCGGUAAGACUACACGCUUUCAUUGCCUCCGCUGAGCAAAAUUAAAACCACAUUACACCGAACGUUACCGGCGACACUGAGCAGAGGAACUGUGAGAGCCCUGCAUUUGCUCACGUUGCCUCAGCAGGCAGGGAGGAAGGGGUUUACGGAGCAGCUCCCCAGCGGGCAUUCGAACUCUGGCUGGUCUGGGACAGCCCUAGAACAGGGAUGGCAACACCAGGACAGGCACGGCGCUGGGAAAGACGCCAGGAGCCUCGCCCGAGCCCGGCCCCUCCGGGGUGCGUUAAGGCUGCUCUUAGGGGCAGGAUGCGAGCAAUGGGAGUGCUGGGCGAGGAGGAGUUACCCGCCGUCCCCAACAACGCGGGACAAAGAAACCUUGGAGAUCCUCAGUAGAACAUAAGGUGUGAUUAGUGUUACUGCACUGUCAGAAAUAGCAAUUCCUACAUAGAAAAGCAUGGAAGUGUUGAGCAGCAGCACUGCAAAACAGGACUAGCCGAAGCAGCAGCUUAGAUCUGCUGGGGCCAGCCGUGCUCAGGGCCUCAGGACCGCCAGCACAGGAUGAUGCCACUGCUACAGAAACUGAAGUGGGAUCCUGCAGCAAUUCAGCUUCAAAAGUCACAGGCCACCUCUCUAGGCAAGUACUUGUCAUUAAAUUAUUAUCAGUAUUUUGUAUAGCAGCAUCUGUUACACAAAUUCGAAAUCGAAGCAGAAGUCCAUAUAACAAGCAGGAAAAGUGUGGUCUGCAAGUUAUUAAUGUCCCAUAUGAGGAAAGCUGGAAGGUAAACUUAAAGUGGAAGAAUGAAGUUACUCAUAAAUGAGAGCUGGAAGUAAGCUGACAAAGGCCUGUACUGUCCACCUUUUUUAAAGAUCAAUGCAAACCUUUAUUUUCUAUAAAUAAUUUAAUAAAUACUUUUGUUUUACAAUGAUACAAUAAAUGACAAAUUCAUAGCAAAUGAGUCACAAAGAAUUUAGAAUCAGUAUACUUUAAUAAGGUAUCAGUGUCAAAAUACAUUUCCUUAUCAAAUUAAAGUUCCCAUAUAGUUAUAAUAUUGUCAAUAAGAAUUCAGCAAUAUAGAUUAUGAAAUAAUUAUGAUAAAAAGUAUGAUUAAUAUUAAGAUGGAAUAUUUUUCCAGAGUGUUUUAGUAAACUGUUAGGCUAUAUAACAUUUUUAAUGCUGAAAAUACACAAAUAAGAAACAGAAAAGAAGCAGUAUUCAAGUGUCUUUAGUCUUUGAUGCCUUUAAGUCCUUGCCACUGAAAAAUGUCAAAUCUGGCUUGCCAACUUUCAUUCAUUACAUGUUGACUCUUACACUAUCCUUUUCCCAUAGGAAUAAAUUCACUUUAUGAGUAGCUUAUUUUUGGUAAAAAGAAAAAAAGAGCACAAAACAAAACAACUCUUGAAAGAUCUGCCUGCAAUAAGGACUACUGGAAUUUUUAUUUGACACUAUAUACCACUACUAACAUAAGAUCUUCCACUUUCAAAAGAGUGCACAGUAUGUAUGGUUAAGACUCACUUAACACAGCAAUUUCUGAAGUGCUCUAUGAACCCAAGGCUCCCUCUCUGCAAGUGUCAGUGCAUGUAGAAAGCAAAAUCAUAAAACAGGCUUCAGUGGAACUGAAUAUCUAAAACCAAUUAUCUUUGUUCUGAGUUUCUGGGCCAGAUUUUAUACCUUCUGUACAUUGCCACUGUUCCAUUUUUUUUCUGUGAAGCCACAACGAUUUAUACCAGUGGAGGAAACCAGAUGGAUUUCAAUAAAUAUCUCAAUACGUAGCUAUUUCAAAGGCAGAACUGCCCACCUACUUCUAUUAGUUUUAAUAUUUUUGCUGCUUAAAUACACUCCAAUUUUCAAACAUCAACAUUUGAAAGCAUUCAUAGCCUUAUUUCUAAAAAUGUGCAUGACAGUACAUCAUAGUUGAAAAAGAGUCCUGAAAACAUCUGGCUGAGUUCAGUAACAUCUCAGCUCUUGAUUAAAAUAUAAGGUAAGUUAAAAUGAGAAAAACCUGUCAGUAAUUCAUCUCACUACACGAUUCUUAAUUCUUUUUGUCCACUUACAAUUAAGUUAGCAUAAUAUGCCAGAAAAUACUACUUCUAGUUUCAAUAUUGAAAUUAUCUUGCCAGCCAGCCAUACACCAUGAUAAAAGCUAGUAGUAUUCAGAGGUGUUAGUUCUGGCCAAUGGUCAGAUUCCUGAAGUGUCAGAAACGUUCCAAGAAAUACUACGGGUUCUUAACUUUGUUGCGUUCUAGAUAUAGCAAAAGUACCAAGAGCUGAUUAACAACUGACCCAAAGAGAAACAAUAAUAAUAAUAAAAAAAACAAAACACAAAAUCUGUUUUGUGUAAAAAAAAAUGAAGGGUACGACGAAAGAAAAGAAAAAAAACAAAACAAAACAAAACCAAAAAUACAACAAGCAAGAAACCCCAAUACAAACAAAAA